rnacentral:tRNA from 2 species
GGAUGGGUGGCAGAGUGGUCGAAUGCGCACGCCUGGAAAGCGUGUUUACCGCAAGGUAACGGGGGUUCGAAUCCCCCCCCAUCCG